ACGGGGGGGGCUAGCGUUGUUCGGAAUUACUGGGCGUAAAGGGCGCGUAGGCGGCCUACUAAGUCGGACGUGAAAUCCCUCGGCUCAACCGGGGAACUGCGUCCGAUACUGGUGGGCUCGAAUCCGGGAGAGGGAUGUGGAAUUCCAGGUGUAGCGGUGAAAUGCGUAGAUAUCUGGAGGAACACCGGUGGCGAAGGCGGCAUCCUGGACCGGUAUUGACGCUGAUGCGCGAAAGCCAGGGGAGCAAACGGGA
rnacentral:rRNA from 1 species